GCCAAACCCCGCAUCAGCUCAUAGCGUAUAUUAAGUUGUUGCAGUUAAAAAGCUCGUAGUUGAAUUUCGGGAUCAAUGCGUCGGUCGUGCCCUAGGUACGCACUAACGUCAUUGAUUCCUCCCUUCUGACGAGCCGUGAUGUCAUUAAUUUGGUGUUACGGGGAGUCAGGACUGUUACCUUGAAAAAAUUAGAGUGUUUAAAGCAGGCA
rnacentral:rRNA from 1 species